rnacentral:rRNA from 1 species
UACGUAGGGGGCAAGCGUUGUCCGGAAUCAUUGGGCGUAAAGCGCGCGUAGGCGGCCCUGUAAGUCCGCUGUGAAAGUCGAAGGCUCAACCUUCGAAAGCCGGUGGAUACUGCAGGGCUAGAGUCCGGAAGAGGCGAGUGGAAUUCCUGGUGUAGCGGUGGAAUGCGCAGAUAUCAGGAGGAACACCGGUGGCGAAGGCGGGUCUCUGGGCCGAUACUGACGCUGAGGAGCGAAAGCGUGGGGAGCGAACAGG